GAGGUGGGAGGAUUGCUUGAGCUCAGGAGUGUGAGGCUGCAGGGAGCUGUGAUCAUGCCACUGCACUCCAGCCUGAGUGACAGAGUGAGACCCUGU
ensembl:miRNA